rnacentral:rRNA from 1 species
GCCAUUUUGCUGAAUAUACCGGUUGUUCUCGUUAGAUCACCGAAGUCAAGCAUCAUUGGGCGCGGUCAGUACUUCGGGGUGGGUGACCACCUGGGAACACCGCGUGCCGUU